GUGCUCCCUUUAGCAACAUGUAUACUAAAAUUGGAAUAAUACAGAGAAAAUUAGCAUUACCCCUACAUAUGAUGACAUACAAAUUCGUGAAGCAUUCCAUAUUUUA